rnacentral:lncRNA from 1 species
UGUAAUACAGUAAGCCAGAGUAUUUAACUUAAUUUACAAUAACCAGUGGGCCCUCGAAUAACUAAAAGAAAGGAAGACUGUGAACCUACAGUUUGGAGGAUGCAAAUCUAAUGGUAACCUCAAUGAAAUCGGCUAUCUAUAGCCUAUUUUGAGCCUGAAAUGGGUGGAAAUGAGGGUGGUGAGAUUAUAUAAUCCCAGUGAGUAAACAAAUACCAUCUAAAAUAUCUAAAGCCGAGUAAAUUGAGACAUAUAAAAUAGUUUAACAUACUAUAAUUCAUCACCUUUCAACUUGUUUCAACCAAAUAAAAUCAAUUCAUAUAAAUCGAGUAAUCAACAUGGCUUAUGAAUUUCUUAAAACUUUGACUCGUGCCAAAAUCAUACCCAGUUAUUAGGGAUACCCUGAUCGAGGGUUAUCCCAACCGAGUCCGCCAAGGCUGUUAAAAAGUUAUGUACGCAUAAAUCAUGUUUUUAUUUUCAAAACAUAGUCGUUCCUUGGCGUUAGCUGAGUUCACCCUCACGUGGUGGUUUGACGUGAAGUGAACUCUAAAGUUAUACCUCGGGAGUUACCCUACUCGCCUCUCCAAUCGAGGUAAAAUAUAGCAGGAUUCCGUGCCCCUCUAAUAAGCUGAUCCACAGAAAACCCGCCCACUGCAGCAAGUUAAACCCACCAUAUAAUAAAAUUUGCAAUAGCAUGACAUGGUAAUUAUUUUAUUUUAUUUUAUUUUACAGCCUUUCAAGGCAAAUCAACAAUUUAUACAUUUCCAACACAUUUAUCAAAUCAACCAUUCAUGCCAAUAUUGCCAUAAGCCAAUCAAUUAGAAUCAUGAAUUUACAACACACAAAAACAGUCUCCAAUUACUCUAUUUUCAAACCAUCAUUCAAUUUUAAAACAAUUUUAUAAAAUCAUUUUCAUUAAAUCACAUUUUGUUUAUAAAACCAAAAAAUUAAUCAAUUAAUUCAUUUUCCAUAAAAUUCACAAAAUCAAAUAAAAACAUACUUUAGAUAAUUAAGAUGAUGAUAAGGUUACUCACUAUUUCGGGGUCGAAUUCCAAGUACUCCGAUUCUUUAUUCUCGGGUACUAUCUCUUUACUUUUGCCAGAAUUAUCACCAUCUAGACAUAAUGCACAAUAAGCCAUUUACUACAUUGUGCUAAAUUGUUAUAAAACCAAUUCAGGCUUUAUACUAAUGUAUGAAAUGGGAUGCAAAUUGUUCGGAUUAUUGUCUAAACACGGUGUUCUACACAAAUUCAAUUGUGUACCUAAAUUAAACGGUAUUUACCUAAUUCGAUCUAUCACUCGAUUAAUUGGCCAAUACGUCCAAUUCAAUUCCAAAUAAUUUCAUUUUUCUCCCAAUACUCCUAAUCAUCAAACACAAAUUAAAUAACUUGAAAUAUGGCAAAAUCAUCCUCACAUUUUCUCUUGGAAAAUUCGGCCAUGGUGGGUGCAUCAACACUAUAAUUUUUCCUAUUUGAUUAUCAUACCAUAAAUCACUAAUUCCUAACCAAAUCACUUGAAAUAAAAUCAAAAUCAUCCUCAAUAUUCCACAUGGAGAAUUCGACCAAUGAUGGGUGAUGGGAGAACAUGAAUUUUUCUUGCUUGAUUUUCAUGCUACACACCACCAAUCAACUAAAAACACUAAAAUACAUUGAAAUCUAACCAAAUCAAGCAUCAAAACCUCUCUCCUAGGGUUUGAUCAGCACACUAUCCUUCAUGAUAUCUUGUGAUUCAACCAUGAAAAAUGCAAAAUAAUGCAUGGGAAAGGUAGAUCACAAGUCAAAAUCAAUAAAUUUUACAUUUGAUUGCUUAAUUACUUGAAAUUCACCAAUUUUCUCUUGAAUUUUCACCUUAGGGUUCUUGUUCUUCCUUUUUCUUCCUUUGUUCUUGCUUUGGCCGGC